AUCCAAAGAAGAACGAGGAAAAGAAAAAGUAAAGGACUAAAUUGUAAGGUUUAGUCACAUUUUGUAUCAAGUACUUAUCUAGUCACUCGGGGAUCGAAGGAAAUGUCGGAGGCCGAUCACACUAUCAAAGAAAUAACUCGGUAUAACUAGACGUUUUGUUUUAGGUAUGGCAUGUAUAGAAACUUAGCUACUUUUGGUAUAAUAUGAAUAAUGAAUGAUGUGUAAAUACUUGCUAGUGAUUAGCUAAGAAAAUAGCUGAUGA